CCUACGGGAGGCAGCAGUUGGGAAUCUUGCGCAAUGGGGGAAACCCUGACGCAGCGACGUCGCGUGGAGGACGAAGGAUUUAGGUCUGUAAACUCCUUUUUCAGGGAAAGACUUAGGACGGUACCCUGAGAAUAAGCACCGGCUAACUACGUGCCAGCAGCCGCGGUAAGACGUAGGGUGCAAGCGUUGUCCGGAUUUACUGGGCGUAAAGGGCGCGUAGGCGGUCUGUUAAGUGUAGAGUGAAAUCUCCAGGGCUCAACCCGGAAACUGCUCUGCAUACUGGCAGACUUGAGGGACGAAGAGGUAUGUGGAAUUCCUGGUGUAGCGGUGAAAUGCGUUGAUAUCAGGAGGAACACCCAUGGCGAAGGCAGCAUACUGGUCGUUUCCUGACGCUGAGGCGCGAAAGCGUGGGUAGCAAACAGGAUUAGAUACCCUGGUAGUCCACGCCCUAAACGAUGGAUACUAGGCGUCGGAGGUAUCGACCCCUCCGGUGCCGCAGCUAACGCAUUAAGUAUCCCGCCUGGGGACUACGGCCGCAAGGUUGAAACUCAAAUGAAUUGACGG
rnacentral:rRNA from 1 species